rnacentral:rRNA from 1 species
UACGAAGGGGGCUAGCGUUGCUCGGAAUCACUGGGCGUAAAGGGUGCGUAGGCGGGUCUUUAAGUCAGGGGUGAAAUCCUGGAGCUCAACUCCAGAACUGCCUUUGAUACUGAGGAUCUUGAGUUCGGGAGAGGUGAGUGGAACUCCGAGUGUAGAGGUGAAAUUCGUAGAUAUUCGGAAGAACACCAGUGGCGAAGGGCGGCUCACUGGCCCGGUACUGACGCUGAGGUGCGAAAGCGUGGGGAG